rnacentral:misc_RNA from 1 species
CAACCCCUCAAGCUCUGCUUGGUGUUGGGCCGCGCUGCUGCUCCGGCGGCGGGCCCUAAAAUCAGUUGGCGGUGCCGUCGCGGCUCCAAGCGUAGUAGCAAACCUCUCGCUCUGGAGACCCGGCGGUUGCCUGCCAGACAACCCCCCCAGAAUUUUAUUCUCUCACGG